rnacentral:rRNA from 1 species
UACGUAGGUGGCGAGCGUUGUCCGGAAUUACUGGGUGUAAAGCGCGUGUAGGCGGGAGGCCAAGUCUGUGGUGAAAUCGCUCGGCUUAACUGGGCGGGGUCCAUGGAAACUGGUCACCUGGAGGUCGGUAGAGGCAAGUGGAAUUCCCGGUGUAGUGGUGAAAUGCGUAGAUAUCGGGAGGAACACCUGUGGCGAAAGCGGCUCACUGGACCAUUACUGACGCUGAUGCACGAAAGCUAGGGGAGCAAACAGG